rnacentral:misc_RNA from 1 species
UUUCCGUAGGUGAACCUGCGGAAGGAUCAUUAAUGGGAAAAUGAUGCCUCGGCAUCAUUCCUUCUCCAUCACAUACACCUGUGUUCCUGGUCUACCGUUAUGCUUUGGGUGGUGUAGGCCGAGCGCGCGCGAGCGCGGCUCGUCUACGAGUUGUGUGCGUGUUUACGCGCGCGCGUGACAGCCACCCAAGCGUAUUAUUUUAAACGUCAUGCUUGUUGUUACCUUUAGUACUAAAAUAUUAUACAUAUUGUAAACUUUAACACAACUGUUAGCAAUGGAUCACUCGGUUCUC